rnacentral:rRNA from 1 species
GAUGAACGCUAGCUACAGGCUUAACACAUGCAAGUCGAGGGGUAACGAGAGGAAAGCUUGCUUUCCUUGUCGACGACCGGCGCACGGGUGAGUAACGCGUAUCCAACCUGCCCCCAACUAGUGAAUAACCUUGCGAAAGUAAGACUAAUACCCUAUACUUUCCUCAGAUUACAUCUGACGAGGAAUAAAGAUUUAUCGGUUGUGAAUGGGGAUGCGUCUGAUUAGCUUGUUGGCGGGGUAACGGCCCACCAAGGCAACGUUCACUAGGGGUUCUGAGAGGAAGGUCCCCCACAUUGGAACUGAGACACGGUCCACACUCCUACGGGAGGCAGCAGUGAGGAAUAUUGGUCAAUGGGCGGAAGCCUGAACCAGCCAAGUAGCGUGCAGGAUGACGGCCCUAUGGGUUGUAAACUGCUUUUAUACAGGAAUAAAGUUAGCCACGUGUGGUUAUUUGUAGGUACUGUAUGAAUAAGGACCGGCUAAUUCCGUGCCAGCCGCCGCCGUAA